rfam:Glossina pallidipes unplaced genomic scaffold Scaffold65, whole genome shotgun sequence.
UGACUAUUUGCCUCACAUUACACAAGCAUAACUCUGAUCAGGCCUGAACCUGUGGAUGAUGGUGCAUGGCAGUUCUUCAUUCGUAGAAUGAUUUGUCUGAUUAAUUUCGAUAACGAACGAGACUCAAAUAUGUUCAGAAUGAUCGCAUUGAAGCUUUUAUGGCUUUCUUACUAGCAUAGUAACAUGUGUGAGUGUUUCAAUGUGUUUAUGAAAGUGGAACCAUAUCUGUCGGCUUGCUCUUUUACAGACCUCUAGGUUCCUUAAAUAGACAAAUUGCCUUUUGCGAGAUUGUGCAAUAACAGGUCUGUAAUGCCCGUUGGUUGCUCUUGGCUGCUCGCACGCUACAAUGAAAGUAUCAAUGUGUGUUUCAUUUACCUAUAGAUCCGAGCAAACCGCUGGACCACUUUUAUGCUUAGGAUUGUGAACUAAAAUUGUGCAUAUGAACGUG